rnacentral:rRNA from 1 species
CUUCGGGGUGAGCGGCGGACGGGUGAGUAACGCGUGGGAACGUGCCCUCUUCUACGGAAUAGCCCAGGGAAACUUGGAUUAAUGCCGUAUACGCCCGAAAGGGGAAAGAUUUAUCGGAGGAGGAUCGGCCCGCGUUGGAUUAGGUAGUUGGUGAGGUAACGGCUCACCAAGCCGACGAUCCAUAGCUGGUUUGAGAGGAUGAUCAGCCACACUGGGACUGAGACACGGCCCAGACUCCUACGGGAGGCAGCGAGUGGGGAAUCUUGGACAAUGGGGAAACCCUGAUCCAGCCAUGCCGCGUGAUCGAUGAAGGCCUUAGGGUUGUAAAGAUCUUUCAGCUGGGAAGAUAAUGACGGUACCAGCAGAAGAAGCCCCGGCUAACUCCGUGCCAGCAGCCGCGGUAAUACGGAGGGGGCUAGCGUUGUUCGGAAUUACUGGGCGUAAAGCGCACGUAGGCGGAUCAGUCAGUCAGGGGUGAAAUCCCGGGGCUCAACCCCGGAACUGCCUUUGAUACUGCUGGUCUUGAGGUCG